rnacentral:rRNA from 1 species
AUUGAACGCUGGCGGCAGGCUUAACCCAUGCAAGUCGAGCGAGCGGCGGACGGGUGAGUAAUGUCUGGGAAACUGCCUGAUGGCGGGGGAUAACUACUGGAAACGGUAGCUAAUACCGCAUACCAUCAGCUUUGCACUGAUGGUAUUAGCGAGUAGGUGGGGUAAUGGCUCACCUAGGCGACGAUCCCUAGCUGGUCUGAGAGGAUGACCAGCCACACUGGAACUGAUACACGGCCCAGACUCCUACGGGAGGCAGCAGUGGGGAAUAUUGCACAAUGGGCGCAAGCCUGAUGCAGCCAUGCCGAGUGUGUGAAGAAGGCCUUCGGGUUGUAAAGCACUUUCAGCGAGGAGGCGUUACUCGCAGAAGAAGCACCGGCUAACUCCGUGCCAGCAGCCGCGGUAAUAC